CGAGUUCGAGUCUCGGUUUAUUCACACACAGCAAGCGUGACAGUAGAUAACAUUUUCUUUAUGUGUUUUAAAUACAGUACAAUAUUCCGGAACGUUCUCCCAUCGCCACGACAUUUAUAUAAAAAUAGUGUGUUGCUACAAAAGUGUAAAUUAAGACCCAAACUCAGGAGGAUUUGCAGAAAAAUAUCCCUUCCUAGCGGUAGAAAAAACAGCUCUGGCCUCAAAAAUAUGGAUUUUUUCCCUCCCCAACCCCAGUAUAUAUUUUCAUUUAAAUCUGAUUUUUCUCUGCCAUUUCUCCCCUCGAAAACCCCGCAAAAUUCGCACCCGGGGCGGCGAUUUUAUUCUUUUAUUCUCUAUUAUUUUCACUUAAAUCUGAAUUUUCUCUGCCUUUUUGUCCCUUGAAAACCCCGCAAAAUCCGCACCCGGGGCGGCCAUUUUAUUAUUUAUUAUUUACAUUAUUCUUAUUAUUUCUCGGGGCAAGAACAGAAAAUUCGCAGCCGGGGCGGCGAUUUUAUUAUUUAUUAUUUACAUGAUUUUUAUUAUUUCUCGGAGCAAGAAGAGAAAAUUCGCACUCGGAGCGGCAAUUUUAUUAUUUAAGAUUUAUAUUAUUUUUCAGGGUAUUUUUAUUGUUUUUCGGGCAAGAACAGAAAAUUCGCACCCGGGGCGGCAAUUUUAUUAUUUAUUAUUUACAUUAUUUUUAUUAUUUCUCGGGGCGAGAACAGAAAAUUCGCAGCCGGGGUGGCAAUUUUAUUAUUUAUUAUUUAAUAUUUCUAUUAUUUCUCAGGGUAUUUUUAUUGUUUUUCGGGGUAAGACCAGAAAAUUCGCACCCAGGGCGGUGAUUUUAUUAUUUACAUUAUUUUUAUUAUUUCUCGGGGCAAGAACAGAAAAUUCGCAGCCGGGGCGGCAAUUUUAUUAUUUAAUAUUUCUAUUAUUUUUCAGGGUAUUUUUAUUGUUUUCCGGGGUAAGAGCAGAAAAUUCGCACUCGGGGCGGCGAUUUUAUUGUAUUAUUAUUUUUAAUAUUUUUCAGGGUAAGAACAGAAAUGGAUUAAAGGAGUGAUGGACCGAAUAAUAAUAAUAAUAAUAAUAAUAAUACAAUAAAUUUUCAGGGGCAGCAAUUUUAUUAUUUAUUAUUUAAUAUUUAUAUUAUUUCUCAGGGUAUUUUUUAUUGUUUUUCGGGGUAAGAACAGAAAAUUUGCACCCAGGGCGGCAAUUUUAUUAUUUUAUUACUUAUUUAAUUUUAUUAUUUUUGGGGGUAAGAACAGAAAAUUCUGAUUUUCUCUGCCAUUUCUUUCCUUGAAAACCUCGCAAAAUUUGCACCCGGGGCGGCAAUUUUCUGAUUUUAUUACUUAUUUUUAUUAUUUUUCGGGGGAAGAACAGAAAAUUCGCACUCGGGGCGGCCAUUUUAUUAUUUAAUAUUUACAUUAUUUUCCAGGGUAUUUUUAUUGUUUUUUGGGGCAAGAACAGAAAAUUCUGAUUUUCUCUGCCAUUUCUUUCCUUGAAAACCCUGCAAAAUUUGCUUUAUUAUUUUAUUACUUUUUAAUUAUUUUUCGUGGGAAGAACAGAAAAUUCGCACUCGGGGCGGCCAUUUUAUUAUUUAAUAUUUACAUUAUUUUUUCAGGGUGUUUUUAUUGUUUUUCGGGGCAAGAACAGAAAAUUCUGAUUUUCUCUGCCUUGAAAACAUUGCAAAAUUUGCUUUAUUAUUUUAUUACUUUUUAAUUAUUUUUCGUGGGAAGAACAGAAAAUUCGCACUCGGGGCGGCCAUGUUAUUAUUUAAUAUUUACAUUAUUUUUUCAGGGUGUUUUUAUUGUUUUUCGGGCAAGAACAGAAAAUUCUGAUUUUCUCUGCCUUGAAAACAUUGCAAAAUUUGCUUUAUUAUUUUAUUACUUUUAAUUAUUUUUCGUGGGAAGAACAGAAAAUUCGCACUCGGGCGGCCAUUUUAUUAUUUAAUAUUUACAUUAUUUUUUCAGGGUAUUUCUAUUGUUUUUCGGGGCAAGAACAGAAAAUUCUGAUUUUCUCUGCCUUGAAAACAUUGCAAAAUUUGCUUUAUUAUUUUAUGACUUUUUAAUUAUUUUUCGUGGGAAGAACAGAAAAUUCGCACUCGGGGCGGCCAUUUUAUUAUUUAAUAUUUACAUUAUUUUUCAGGGUAUUUUUAUUGUUUUUCGGGGUCAGAACAGAAAAUUCUGAUUUUCUCUGCUAUUUCUUUCCUUGAAAACCCUGCAAAAUUGGCUUUAUUCUUUUAUGACUUUUUAAUUAUUUUUCGGGGCAAGAACAGAAAAUUCUGAUUUUCUCCGCCAUUUCUUUCCUUGAAAACCCUGCAAAAUUUGCUUCAUUAUUUUAUUACUUUUUAAUUAUUUUUCGUGGGAAGAACAGAAAAUUCGCACUCGGGGCGGCCAUUUUAUUAUUUAAUAUUUACAUUAUUUUUCAGGGUCUUUUUAUUGUUUUUCGGGGUAAUUUAUUGUUUUUCAGUGGGUUUUGGGGACUCCAACUCCCAUGAUCCUUAGCAAAUGGGUGCGGUUAAUUUUGGGACUCCGACUCCCAUGAUCCUUUGCUAACAGGGCCAGUGGAUUUUGGGACUCCAACUCCCAUGAUUCUUUGGUUGUGGGACUCCAACUCCCAUGAUCCUUAGCUAACAGGGCUGACUGGUUUUGGGACUCCAAUUCCCAUGAUUUAGUGGGUUUCCGGACUCCAAUUCCCAUAAUCCUUAGCUAAUGGGAGCAGUUGGUUUUGGGGACUACAACUCCCAAGAGCCUUAGCUAACAGGGCCAGUGGUUUGGGGGACUCCAACUCCCAUGAGCCUUUGCUAACAGGGCUGGAGGUUGUGGGACUUAAUUCUCUGGAUCUUUGGGGACUACAAUUCCCAUGAUCCAGUGGGUUUUGGGACUCCAACUCCCAUGAUCCUUUGCUAAGAGGGAAGGUUGGUUUUGGUACUACAACUCCCAUAAUCCUUAGCUGAUGGGAGCAGUUGGUUUUGGGGACUCCGACUCCCAUGAUCCUUAGCUAACAGGGCUGGUUGGUAGUGGGACUAUGACUCCCAUGAUCCUUUGCUAACAGGGCCAGUGGGUUUGGGGACUCCAACUCCCAUGAGCCAGUGGGUUUUGGGACUCCAAUUCCCAUGAGCCAGUGGGGUUGGGGACUACAACUCCCAUGAUCCAGUGGGGUUUGGGGACUACAAUUCCCAUGAUCGUUUGCUAAGAGGGCUGGUUGGUUUUGGUACUACAACUCCCAUAAUCCUUAGCUAAUGGGUGCGGUUAAUUUUGGUACUACAACUCCCAUGAUCCUUAGCUAAUGGGUGCAGUUAAUUUUGGGACUCCGACUCCCAUGAUUCUUUGGUUGUGGGACUCCAACUCCCAUGAGCCAGUGGGCUUUGGGGACUCCAACUCCCAUGAUCCUUAGCUAAGAGGGCUGACUGGUUUAGGGACUCCAAUCCCCAUGAUUUAGUGGGUUUCCGGACUACAAUUCCCAUAAUCCUUAGCUAAUGGGAACAGUUGGUUUUGGGGGACUCCCAUGAUCCUUUGCUAACAGGGCUGAUUGGUAGUGGGACUCUGACUCCCAUGAUCCUCAGCUGACAAGUACAGUGGAUUUUGGGACUCCGACUCCCAUGAGCCUUAGCUAACAGGUCCAGUGGGUUUGGGGACUAUAAUUCCCAUGAUCCUUAGCGAAUGGGUGCAGUUAAUUUUGGGACUCCGACUCCCAUGAUCCUUUGCUAACAGGGCCAGCGGAUUUUGGGACUCCAACUCCCAUGAUCCUUUGGUAAUGGGAGCAGUUGGUUGUGGGACUCCAACUCCCAUGAGCCAGUGGGCUUUGGGGACUCCAACUCCCAUGAUCCUUUGCUAACUGGGCUGGUUGGUAGUGGGACUCUGACUCCCAUGAUCCUCAGCUAACAAGUACAGUGGGUUGUGGGACUACGACUCCCAUGAUUCUUUGCUCACAGGAGCAGUUACUUUGGGACUCCAACUCCCAUGAUCCUUUGCUAAGAGGGCUGGUUGGUUUUGGUACUACAACUCCCAUAAUCCUUAGCUGAUGGGAGCAGUUGGUUUUUGGGACUCCGACUCCCAUGAUCCUUUGCUAACAGGGCCAGUGGAUUUUGGGACUCCAACUCCCAUGAUUCUUUGGUUGUGGGACUCCAACUCCCAUGAGCCAGUGGGGUUUGGGGAUACCAACUCCCACGAUCCUUUGCUAAGAGGGCUGGUUGGUUUUGGUACUACAACUCCCAUAAUCCUUAGCUGAUGGGAGCAGUUGGUUUUGGGGACUCCGACUCCCAUGAUCCUUAGCUAACAGGGCUGGAGGUUUUGGGACUACAAGUUCCAUGAUCCUUAGCUAAGAGGGUCAGUGAGUUUGGGGACUACAAUUCCCAUGAGCCAGUGGGGUUUGGGGGACUCCAACUCCCAUGAUCCUCAGCUAACUGGGCUGGUUGGUAUUGGGACUACGACUCCCAUGAUUCUUUGCUCACAGGAGCAGUUACUUUGGGACUCCAACUCCCAUGAGCCAGUGGGGUUUGGGGAUACCAACUCCCACGAUCCUUUGCUAAGAGGGCUGGUUGGUUUUGGUACUACAACUCCCAUAAUCC